rnacentral:rRNA from 1 species
GAUGAACGCUGGCGGCGUGCCUAAUACAUGCAAGUCGAGCGAACAGACGAGGAGCUUGCUCCUCUGACGUUAGCGGCGGACGGGUGAGUAACACGUGGAUAACCUACCUAUAAGACUGGGAUAACUUCGGGAAACCGGAGCUAAUACCGGAUAAUAUAUUGAACCGCAUGGUUCAAUAGUGAAAGACGGUUUUGCUGUCACUUAUAGAUGGAUCCGCGCCGCAUUAGCUAGUUGGUAAGGUAACGGCUUACCAAGGCAACGAUGCGUAGCCGACCUGAGAGGGUGAGCGGCCACACUGGAACUGAGACACGGUCCAGACUCCUACGGGAGGCAGCAGUAGGGAAUCUUCCGCAAUGGGCGAAAGCUUGACGGAGCAACGCCGCGUGAGUGAUGAAGGUCUUCGGAUCGUAAAACUCUGUUAUUAGGGAAGAACAAAUGUGUAAGUAACUAUGCACGUCUUGACGGUACCUAAUCAGAAAGCCACGGCUAACUACGUA